GAAGUUCGCCAGGCAGUCGCCGCGCGCGGGUUGCGCGGAGGAAAGUCCGGGCCCCGCAGAGCAGGAUGCCGGCUAACGGCCGGGCGUCGCGAGGCGACGGAAAGUGCAACAGAAAACAAACCGCCGAUGGCCCGCGCAACGCGGGAUCAGGCAAGGGUGAAAUGGCGGGGUAAGAGCCCACCGCGGGACUGGCGACAGUCCCGGCACGGCAAACCCCAUCCGGGGCAAGGCCAAAUAGGGGGGCAUGGCGUGGCUCGCGCCGCUCCCGGGUAGGCUGCUGGAGCGCCGCGGCAACGCGGCGCCAAGAUGAAUGAUUGCCCGGUGUCCUUCGGGACAUUCGACAGAACCCGGCUUAUCGGCGAACUUCCCGC
rnacentral:RNase_P_RNA from 1 species